UACGGGGGGAGCAAGCGUUAAUCGGAAUUACUGGGCGUAAAGCGCGCGUAGGCGGUUUGGUAAGUCGGAUGUGAAAACCAGAGGCUCAACCUCUGGCCUGCAUCCGAUACUGCCCGACUAGAGGUAGGUAGGGGAGCGCGGAAUUCCCGGUGUAGCGGUGAAAUGCGUAGAGAUCGGGAGGAAGGCCGGUGGCGAAGGCGGCGCUCUGGAACGUUUCUGACACUGAGGCUCGAAAGCGUGGGGAGCAAACAGG
rnacentral:rRNA from 1 species